UACGUAGGUGGCAAGCGUUGUCCGGAUUUAUUGGGUUUAAAGGGUGCGUAGGCGGCUUUGUAAGUCAGUGGUGAAAUAUGGCAGCUUAACUGUCAAGGUGCCAUUGAUACUGCAGAGCUUGAGUACAGAUGAGGUAGGCGGAAUUGACGGUGUAGCGGUGAAAUGCUUAGAUAUCGUAAGGAAGACCAGUGGCGAAGGCGGGUCUCUGGACAGUUCCUGACGCUGAGGCACGAAGGUCAGGGGAGCAAACGGG
rnacentral:rRNA from 1 species